GUAGGUGAACCCGCGGAAGGAUCAUUGCUUGCAGUAGUUUACUACUGUUGUAGGGGCUGUGGAAAUUCUUCUGGCUGUUUCGGCAGCUUUGAGAAAAGUACAUUCCCUUAUAAACCCUUGUCUUUUUGCGCACUCAUGUUUCCUCGGUGGGCUUGCCUGCCGACUGGACAACUUAUAACCUUUUUAAAUUUUCAAUCAGCGUCUGAAUAAUUGUAAUAAUUACAACUUUCAACAACGGAUCUCUUGGUUCUG
rnacentral:misc_RNA from 1 species